UCACCGUCCGUGUCGAGGUGUGUGAUGCUAAGCAUGUGAGCUUGUCUUGGGAGUGUUUUUGAUGCUUCUGGGGUGGGUGAGUGUGUGAACCGAUCAUGUAGUAGGCAAGCUGCGGAGGGACGCAGUGAGGUAGCUCAUCCCCGGUGAUGGUUGUCCGGGGCUAAGUGUGUGGACUGUCUGGUAGGUAAAUCCGCUGGGCGUGAAGGUUGAGGCAUGAUGGGGAGCCCAUGGUUGUGGGUGAGUGAGUGAUCCUGUACUGUCGAGAAAAGCUUCGUGAGCGAGGUGGCGGGUCCGCCCGUACCCUAAACCGACACUGGUGGAUAGGUAGAGUAUACCGAGGCGAUCGAGUGAAUCGUGGUGAAGGAACUCGGCAAAAUGCCCCCGUAACUUUGGGAUAAGGGGGACCUGAGCUGUCGUGCACCCGUGCGGUGUGGUGGCGGUGAGGGGCGCAGAGUCCAGGGGGAAACGACUGUUUACCAAAAACACAGGUCCGUGCGAAGUCGUAAGACGAUGUAUACGGACUGACUCCUGCCCGGUGCUGGAAGGUUAAGGGGAACUGUGAGUGUAUGCGUAGCGGUGAACUUAAGCCCCAGUAAACGGCGGUGGUAACUAUAACCAUCCUAAGGUAGCGAAAUUCCUUGUCGGGUAAGUUCCGACCUGCACGAAUGGAGUAACGAUUUCCCUACUGUCUCCACCAUGAACUCGGUGAAAUUGCAUUACGAGUAAAGAUGCUCGUUACGCGCAGCAGGACGGAAAGACCCCGGGACCUUUACUAUAGUUUGGUAUUGGUGAUUGGGACGGUUUGUGUAGGAUAGGUGGGAGACGUUGAUGCGGCCACGCUAGUGGUGGUGGAGUCGUUGGUGAAAUACCACUCUGAUUGUUCUGGUUAUCUCACUGUGGACCGUGAUCCGGUUCAAGGACAGUGCCUGAUGGGUAGUUUGACUGGGGCG
rnacentral:rRNA from 1 species